CUGGGCGAGGUCUUGGGUUCCGUUAUUUUCCAUCUCUGCCGCCAUGACCAGGAAGCGAUCCUGAAGAGAGGCCGUGUAGCCUGCAGCAAACACACAACACAACCGGUCAACACACACACAACACAACAGGUCAACACACACACACACACAACACUCAGCAGGACAACACACAACACAACAGGUCAACGAACACACAAUACACAGUAGGUAAACUUUUUGGCCUGUACACAACUGACUAAACUACACACACACACACCAGGUAAACAGAUUAGCCUGCAGCAAAAACACAACACACACACA